CUUGAAACAAUAUAAAUGAAUAUUAUAUUAUAUUAUAUUAUAUUAUAUUAUAUUAUAUUAUAUUAUAUUAUAUUAUAUUAAUCAGCAAAUAUGUAUCCUCCUACGCUUCGCCUAGUUUAUCUUUAAAGAAACGUGAACAAAUGUGUACAAUGUUUAGGCUACAACGUGGAUGCUUAUUUAGUCUAUGUCGGUAGAGGCAGGCGUGUUAAAUUGUAAAAUAAGCUAAAGCUAAGCACAUUACCCUCAGUGAUUGUUUUCAUCGGGACGUUUAAAUGCGGCCAUUUAAAAGAUAAUGCAUUUAUACAGACAGACUCUACCUGUGAGCGGUGUGAAGUGAUACAGCAUAGGCUACACUAACAGAAGCCCAUUUGUGUUCAGACUCUGCAAUAUCUAUUAGGCAGAUGCUACUGCGCUGCAACCUAACACCGGCUUUUAGCCCAAGUGGACACAUCAUGCCCUCAGUUUAGCGUGAUAUCGGAGGAGCUUGAAUUGGUGAUUUAGUGAGCGUCGCCCGCAAUCCCGCUGCCUGCCUGUCCAUAAAUCAGAAACGACCUCAGAUUGUCCACAAAAUGUCAAAUUUUAAAUCUAAUAAUAAUAACAAGAAUACAUUUUUAAAUGCCUAAUAAUAAUGACAUGGGCUACAAUAAUAUUGCAUAGCUAUAAUUAUAAUAUAUUGCAUAUUAUUCUUCAUAAACGAUUUUUCUUUUUCUAUUUCAUUUAGCUUUUUGAGAGCAUAAGCUUAAAAUUAUUUUCACUGGUAAACAUGCUUAUUUCACGUGUUCGUUGUUGAUGCUUUGGAUUUACAUUUGAUUCCCAAUGUUCCUAAUUACAAAGUUUACUAGUUUCAGGAAAAGCCCUCACCACCGAAAAAUCGCAAUAAACAUCGUUGCGUUGCAUUCUUUAUUGCGUCUGACAGAUUUAGUAAAUUGGCUUUAUUAAUGCAAACACUUUCCGUGUGCGUGUCAUAGUCAACUGAUUUAAAGGGAGCUUCCGAGAAGCGGUUUCCUCGGACAGAUAUAAUUGUUUGUUUAAUUUGUCUCUGAUGCAUGGAGCCAUGUCAGCGUUCACUAAUUACAUUCCAGGUUUUGAUUAGUGACAAUCAGGAUUGUUGAAUCUAUUAAAUCCAGGAUCAAAAUGAUCCGGUUCCGCCUUUUCCAUGGGCUGCAGCACCAAGUGUCACUGGGGCCUGUGUGCUGCAGUCUGCGCAACCAAUGCGCUGCGCAAUUACUCCCCAUAUUGAAUUCAGAGUAGAUCAGUCUGUUGGGAGUCUUAGAGGUGGACACCCACAUGGCCAGAGGGAUAGUGUGUGUCUUUGCUACAUGCGCACUCAAUGCGCACAAAGUAAAAAAAAAAAAAAAAAGAGUUGAGGUAGGCUAUAUUAUGGCGGUUUCAUGUGCGAGAAGCCUGUGUUUCCCGUUAUGAAAGUAUCACACAAAGCAUAGAUACAGUUAAGAAAAUAUAUCGGAACAUAGUGGAUUUCUUUUUUGAACAAGAUUAAGCAAUAUGAACCUUCUAUGCUACAUAUAAGGCCUAGGUUAUACAGUAAAUAUUAUCAACUCAGUGCGCUAUAUGGGAGACCGCGGGAGUGUUAAGAAUGAUCCCUUAAGAAAAUUAACCAUGGCCCCGCGUCAGCUAAGGACGGCUCUGCCAUGAACUAUGUAGACUGUGCUUGUUGAAGGUGGCUGGAUUUCUGUAAGGUCCACGUAUCCCAGGCUGCAGCGAGAGAGGGCCACGGCCGUUGCGGGUGUAAGUCAUAAAAUGGUGCCAGGCUGCAACAUGAAGGCAGGGGCUGUGAAACCGUACUCUCAUCAUCUGACUGUACAGUAGAGAGACAGAGUCUCACUCUCGGUGUAAGCGGGGCAUAAAAACACUGCUGCAUGAUAAGGAGCACAGGAACUUUGAACAUUUUAUUAGUAUCUAUAAAAGAGGCACAGGACGAAGGACACAGUGUCUAUAAAGCCCUAAUGGAGGAACAAUUAAGAUGGUCAAGCUGCAGAAAGAAACUUUUACAGUGUAGGGUUUUAACACUAACCUUGUCCUUAAACACUAACAUUAAAACCACAAGGCUGGAAAAUUCAGCCUAGUUUUAAUUCCACUGCAUUACCAAUAUCUUCUGAUCGCUAACAGUAAAAUUGUCUGUUUGUUUGUGUGAGAAUAUAAAAUGAGUGGUGAAGGAGAAUUUCUACCGGCUUGAGUACAAAAUAAAAAUAACAUAAUAUGCUACUCUCUCUCUC